rnacentral:rRNA from 1 species
CGGGUGAGUAACACGUGAGUAACCUGCCUUACACAAGGGGAUAGCCUUUGGAAACGAAGAAUAAUACCCUAUAAAGUCAAAAUAUCGCAUGAUAUAGUGACCAAAGAUUUAUCGGUGUAAGAUGGACUUGCGUCUGAUUAGCUAGUUGGUGAGAUAAAAGCUCACCAAGGCGACGAUCAGUAGCCGGCUUGAGAGUGUGUACGGCCACAUUGGGACUGAGACACGGCCCAA